UUAUGGCCAUAUCACGCUGAAACACCAGUUCAUGUAUGAUCAUCAAAGUUAAGCAACGUUGAGCCUGGUAAGUACCUAGACUGGUGAUCACUUGGGAAUACGAGGUGCUGUAAG